GCUGCUUUUUUUUUCUUUCUCAUGCUCUCUGAAAUUUCUGUAAGAUUGAGACGCAUGUGAUGUGUAUUGUUCAGAUUUGACUAGUACUUAAAUAGCUAUGUGCUCUGUUUCAUACUUAUAAAUAUAGUUCUUCUUUAAUGUUUUCUUACUAGUUGUUGGCUACUUGACAAGAAGAUAUCAUGUCAGUGUGAUUUGUUGGUCUGUUAUUAGUUGAAUCUAUUCCCUGUGUACUGUGGUUGCUGUAGAAAC
rnacentral:rRNA from 1 species